UACGUCGGGGGCAAGCGUUGUCCGGAAUCAUUGGGCGUAAAGAGCGUGUAGGCGGUCCGGUAAGUCGGCUGUGAAAGUCCAGGGCUCAACCCUGGGAUGCCGGUCGAUACUGCCGGACUAGAGUUCGGAAGAGGCGAGUGGAAUUCCCGGUGUAGCGGUGAAAUGCGCAGAUAUCGGGAGGAACACCUAUGGCGAAGGCAGCUCGCUGGGACGUUACUGACGCUGAGACGCGAAAGCGUGGGGAGCAAACAGG
rnacentral:rRNA from 1 species